rnacentral:rRNA from 1 species
CCGCCGAGGCUUCCGCCGAACUGCUGUUGAUUCAUCGGCAGCGUCUUGCCGGAGAGCGCGUUGGCGCGUUGAAGUUGUCGUCGCGGAGUG